GAUGAACGCUGGCGGCGUGCUUAAUACAUGCAAGUCGAACGGAAAGGCCCUGAUCUUGUGGGGUGCUCGAGUGGCGAACGGGUGAGUAACACGUGAGUAACCUGUCCUUGACUUUGGGAUAACUUCAGGAAACUGGGGCUAAAACAGGAUAGGAGCUCUUGCUCCACGGGGGGGGUUGGAAAGUUUCGGCGGUUGGGGAUGGACUCGCGGCUUAUCAGCUUGUUGGUGGGGUAGUGGCUUACAAAGGUUUUGACGGGUAGCCGACCUGGGAGGGUGACCGGCCACAUUAGGACUGAGAGACGGCCCAGACGCCUACGGUAGGCAGCAGUGGGGAAUAUUGCGCAAUAGGCGGGGGCCUGAUGCAGCAACGCCGCGUGCGGGAUGACGUCCUUCGGGUGAUAAACCACUUUCGCCUGUGACGAAGCGUUAGUGACGGUAAUGAGUAAAGAAGCACCGGCUAACUACGUG
rnacentral:rRNA from 1 species